rnacentral:lncRNA from 1 species
ACAUACUUUACUAGGGUAGUAAUGUUUUCAAAACCUCAGUUUUGUUGUUCUACACCCUAGAACAUACUUUACUAGGGGUAGUAAACUUUACUGGGGUUAGUAAUGUUCCAAAGCAUCAGAUUUUGUUGUUCUGCAGCCUAACACAUACUUUACUAGGGGUAAUAAAGUUUCCAGAACCUCAGUUUUUGUUGUUCUGCAGCCUAACACAUGCUUUACUAGGGGUAGUAAUGUUUUCAGAACCUCAGUUUUUGUUGUUCUGCACCCUAGAACAUACUUUACUAGGGGUAGUAAAAUUUAAAUGAAAGUUUCCAGAUGGUAUCCUCACAGUCAUUAUAGAGAUCAAAUGAAAGAAAAAUAAAUAUACAUAGCAAAAACUUAAGUUUACUACCCCUAGUGCAAAACAAUAUCUUGAUGAAAAUAUAAGUUUUAUUGCCCCUAGUAAACUUACCACAAUCUCCAUGUUCAUGAAUCCAACAGGAAGUUUGGCAGCUUCUGCCCUUUCCUUCAACAACCUCAUGUACACUUGCAGGCUCUGCGAUCAUAACAUAAGUCAAUAUUAUUAAAUCUAAACUUCACUGAGUGGUGCUAAUAAGGUGAUAUUAUUUAUUUUUUUAUUACUCACGCUCGACAAUAUGGCUGAGUGUUCGAUGAUCCUUUUCAAGUCACUCUUUGAUAAACAGUGCCAGCCUUCAGGACAUGUCCAGUACGCUUCACUGUAGAAAAACAUUGAAUUCAUACUCCAAUUAAAACAAAUAUAUUUUUGUAAUUUUGCAUAAGCAAACUGUAAAGUUUUAUAUAAUUGAAACUUACUCUUCCUUUUUGUUCGGGCGGGCUUCAAACCAUUGUUUGUAGUGCAUUUUCAAAUCGUCGCCCAGUGAAUCCCAUGUACUGUUGUCACACUUCAGAUUCUUGAUUAUAAUUUUUUUGUGGACUUGAAUGUCUUUUGGAGUGCCGUACUCCUAGUCAGGGUCCUUUGUUUUCUUGGCGUUUCUAGGGUUCAGCUUCACAUUUUUUUCUAUCGACAUCGGUUCCAUUGCUUUCCUCUUCUUGGAAUAAGUAUUCAUCUCUUUAUCCUCUGUUGUUG